GGAGGGGGGCCAGCGUUGUUCGGAAUUACUGGGCGUAAAGGGCGCGUAGGCGGCUGCGCAAGUCGAACGUGAAAUCCCUCGGGCUCAACCGGGGAACUGCGUCCGAUACUGCGUGGCUCGAGUCCCGGAGAGGGUAGCGGAAUUCCCAGUGUAGCGGUGAAAUGCGUAGAUAUUGGGAGGAACACCAGUGGCGAAGGCGGCUACCUGGACGGGUACUGACGCUGAGGCGCGAAAGCUAGGGGAGCAAACAGGAUUAGAUACCCUGGUAGUCCUAGCUGUAAACGAUGGGCACUUGGUGUUGCGGGUAUCGACCCCCGCAGUGCCGAAGCUAACGCAUUAAGUGCCCCGCCUGGGGAGUACGGUCGCAAAGGCUG
rnacentral:rRNA from 1 species